CCUACGGGUGGCAGCAGUGGGGGAUAUUGCACAAUGGGGGAAACCCUGAUGCAGCGACGCCGCGUGAGUGAAGAAGUGUUUCGGUAUGUAAAGCUCUAUCAGCAGGGAAGAAAAUGACGGUACCUGACCAAGAAGCCCCGGCUAACUACGUGCCAGCAGCCGCGGUAAUACGUAGGGGGCAAGCGUUAUCCGGAUUUACUGGGUGUAAAGGGGGCGUAGACGGCGGGGCAAGUCUGGAGUGAAAGGCAGGGGCUUAACCCCGGGACUGCUUUGGAAACUGCCAGGCUAGAGUACAGGAGAGGUAAGCGGAAUGCCUAGUGUAGCGGUGAAAUGCGUAGAUAUUAGGAGGAACACCAGUGGCGAAGGCGGCUUGCUGGACUGUAACUGACGUUGAGGCCCGAAAGCGUGGGGAGCAAACAGGAUUAGAUACCCCAGUAGUC
rnacentral:rRNA from 1 species